rnacentral:piRNA from 1 species
UAUUAUAUGGAGGUGACACAAAGG